rnacentral:lncRNA from 13 species
CCGUUGUUGCACCUAGACAAUUCCACUUCACAAUCACAGCACUUACAGUUGACCAGGACAGAAAUUUGCCAAACUGACUUGUUGUAAAGGUGGAAUCCUAUGCCACGUUGAAAGUCACUGAGCUUUUCAGUACAGGACAUUCUACUGCCAAUGUUUGUCUAUGGAGAUUGCAUGGCACGGCUCAAUUGUAUACACCUGUCAGCAACAGGUGUGGCUGAAAUAGUCAAAUCCCAAUAAUUUGUAGGGGUGUCCACAUACUUUUGUAUUUUUUAGUGUGUGUGUGUGUGUGACUAAGAGUAUCUUGCUAAAUAAUGUAUGCGUCUUGGCUCAUACUGAUGCAGUUCAAAAGCAAAACGUAAAUCAUUCAUUUUCAUUAAUUGUAUAAAAAUGUAUUUAUGAUCAAGGACACCAUUGAGUAACACCGAGUACAACAGGAGUGACCGUCCAAGAUGGUCAAUGACAACAUGGGAGUCUUAUCGGCCAAACUUUUAGACUCAUACAUAAGAGAUUCCACACACCCACGACUAAGAACAGCAAUGAAAAACAUGAUUUAAAAGAUAAAAACAAAAUGUUAGCCGUUUUGCUGGUGCUACGAUUUCAAAAUAGUCCGGACAUAACAAUUGAGGUGAUAACUUGUGUACAAAAAAUUAUUUUUUACAUAGGGCUGCAUUUAAUGGGACUAAAAAGCAGACUAGGAAGUAAGCAUGCAUACCAAAUGACACCCUAUUCUUUUGUAUAGUGCACUAUAUAGGGAAUAGGUCCCAUAGGACUGUGGUCAAACAGUGCACUAUAUAGAGAAUAGGUCCCAUAGGACUGUGGUCAAACAGUGCACUAUAUAGGGAAUAGGUUGCCAUUUGGGAUGUAAAAAUUGCAGGCAGACAACAGAAAAAUCACCUAUUUUUUUUCCCCAAAGGCGUAAAUAAAAAAUAAAAAAGUAAAAGAAGCAGUCAGUUAAAAUAGGAACACAUACUAAAACCAGAAGCACAGUGAAAAGCUGAAAAAUAUAUACGUCAUAUGUACACAUGUAAUCGAGUGUGUAUAUUAUACAGGUUUGACUGCCCAUUCCUGUUAAAAUGAGUCUGGAGCAGUCAGGUCCUCACACUCAAAUACUGCAUGACAUUCAGUCCAAAAGUGUAGCU